rnacentral:sRNA from 1 species
GGAACGGGCCUUUCAGGCAUCCUCUCCUAAAAACUUUUCGGGCUGGUCGUUUCGAUCGGCCCUUUUUUUUGCCUCCG